rnacentral:rRNA from 1 species
UUAGGAUGAACGCUAGCGACAGGCCUAACACAUGCAAGUCAGGGGCAGCACAAGGAGCAAUCUGAGGUGGCGACCGGCGCACGGGUGAGUAACACGUAUGCAACCUGCCUGUAAGCGGGGAAUAACCCGUUGAAAGACGGACUAAUACCGCAUAAUACUAAAUUACUGCAUGGUAAUUUAUUUAAACAUUUAUGGCUUACAGAUGGGCAUGCGCAUGAUUAGCUAGUUGGAGAGGUAACGGCUCCCCAAGGCAACGAUCAUUAGGGGUUCUGAGAGGAAGGUCCCCCACACUGGUACUGAGACACGGACCAGACUCCUACGGGAGGCAGCAGUGAGGAAUAUUGGUCAAUGGACGAGAGUCUGAACCAGCCAAGUCGCGUGCAGGAAGAAUGUCCUAUGGAUUGUAAACUGCUUUUGCAGGGGAAUAAAGUGCAUCACGUGUGAUGUUUUGUAUGUACUCUGCGAAUAAGGAUCGGCUAACUCCGUGCCAGCAGCAGC